GUGCUCGGGUGGAAAGUGGCGAACGGGUGAGUAACACGUGAGGAACCUGCCCCGAAGACCGGGAUAACACCGGGAAACCGGUGCUAAUACCGGAUGCCCUCGCUGGAUCGCAUGGUCCGGUGAGGAAAUGGAUUCCGCUUCGGGAUGGCCUCGCGGCCUAUCAGCUUGUUGGUGAGGUAACGGCUCACCAAGGCGACGACGGGUAGCUGGUCUGAGAGGAUGUCCAGCCACACUGGGACUGAGACACGGCCCAGACUCCUACGGGAGGCAGCAGUGGGGAAUCUUGCGCAAUGGGCGAAAGCCUGACGCAGCGAUGCCGCGUGCGGGAUGAAGGCCUUCGGGUUGUAAACCGCUUUCAGCAGGGACGAA
rnacentral:rRNA from 1 species